rnacentral:lncRNA from 1 species
CUUCCUUUCAAAAUGGUCAAAGGCAGUGGGACUUGGAGUGCCCGACACCCUGCUGUUUGCAUGGAUCUGACAUCGUCAUUUCUUCUCCAGAGUGAAGAAGACUCUGUAGCUGAAGAAGUAACAGAAAUUUGGAGUGUGACAGAGGAAAUAAACUGAAUGCAAAGAAGCAUGCAGAGGGGAGCUAAACUACACAACAUGAUGCAGGCACUGCUGUUUCUCAUCUGGCAGCAUUCUAUCAAAUGCAGAGCUGCAAUGUUGACUUGCAUCAGUGACGGAUCGAGCCCUCUGGGAGUCGGCAUAAUUGGAGAUCAGCAGUCUGGAAUCCUGCCCCUGAAGAAUCAGGAAAGAGGCUGUACCUGACACAGAAUCAAGCCAGAUUCAAAGUGAUGGGAAUGUUUAAGCUGUGAUAACUUUUUUUAAAAAUCCCUCUGCUACAUAAUUUAAGUAAAUAUUUGUAGGUGUCUGUAAUAGGGGUAAUUGCUGCAUUUCCUUUCAAACAAAAGCAAGGAGUGCAGUUUUCAGUAA